AGGUAGGAGGAUUGCUUGAGCCCAGGAGGUUGAGGUUGCAGUGAGCUGUGAUCAUACCACUGCACUCCAGCCUGGGCCACAGAGCCAGAACCUGUCU
rnacentral:miRNA from 1 species